rnacentral:misc_RNA from 1 species
AGCGAUUGAACAAAGUAGCCUGUAAUGAAUAACAAUUCACUGGUACUCUAUGGGAAUCCAACGCCCAGUGAUUUACUUUUUUUAGAGAGUCCAUCUUUCUCGUCAAGUACCUCUUCAACUCUUUCUUCAACUAGGUCGGACGCGCAAAGCGCUCCACCUGAGUUAGAGCGGGUAUUUGAUCGAAUCUGUGAUGAAUACGCAGAGUGGGUGGUGAGAGCCGGUAAGCAAUUACCCCCAGAAUGGAGCAUGCCGGACCUUGUUCGGACAGUGAUUGGGGACGAGGCAAUUCACAUCCCAGGCUUUCUCAAGGAUUCAUAUUAUGAUGUUAUGUUACAUGGACCAAAUAGUUGGUUAUGCAACGAGGUUUUUCAGUUUUUGGAUCUAAUUACCAGCUAAUAUAAACAUA